rnacentral:rRNA from 1 species
UACGUAGGGUGCGAGCGUUAAUCGGAAUUACUGGGCGUAAAGCGUGCGCAGGCGGUUUUGUAAGUCAGAUGUGAAAUCCCCGGGCUUAACCUGGGAACUGCGUUUGAAACUACAAGGCUAGAGUGUAGCAGAGGGGGGUGGAAUUCCACGUGUAGCAGUGAAAUGCGUAGAUAUUGGGAAGAACACCGGAGGCGAAGGCGGGUUGCUGGGCCGACACUGACGCUGAGGCGCGAAAGCCAGGGGAGCAAACGGG